rnacentral:rRNA from 1 species
UACGUAGGGCGCAAGCGUUGUCCGGAAUUAUUGGGCGUAAAGAGCUCGUAGGCGGCUUGUUGCGUCGGUUGUGAAAGCCCGGGGCUUAACCCCGGGUCUGCAGUCGAUACGGGCAGGCUAGAGUGUGGUAGGGGAGAUCGGAAUUCCUGGUGUAGCGGUGAAAUGCGCAGAUAUCUGGAGGAACACCGGUGGCGAAGGCGGCAUCCUGGACCAAUAUUGACGCUGAGGAGCGAAAGCCAGGGGAGCAAACGGG